UGGGGAAUUUUGGACAAUGGGCGAAAGCCUGACCCAGCAAUGCCGCGUGUGUGAAGAAGGCCUUCGGGUUGUAAAGCACUUUUGUCCGGAAAGAAAUCCUUGGCUCUAAUACAGUCGGGGGAUGACGGUACCGGAAGAAUAAGCACCGGCUAACACGUGCCAGCAGCCGCGGUAAUACGUAGGGUGCAAGCGUUAAUCGGAAUUACUGGGCGUAAAGCGUGCGCAGGCGGUUUGCUAAGACCGAUGUGAAAUCCCCGGGCUCAACCUGGGAACUGCAUUGGUGACUGGCAGGCUAGAGUAUGGCAGAGGGGGGUAGAAUUCCACGUGUAGCAGUGAAAUGCGUAGAGAUGUGGAGGAAUACCGAUGGCGAAGGCAGCCCCCUGGGCCAAUACUGACGCUCAUGCACGAAAGCGUGGGGAGCAAACAGGAUUAGAUACCCUGGUAGUCCACGCCCUAAACGAUGUCAACUAGUUGUUGGGGAUUCAUUUCCUUAGUAACGUAGCUAACGCGUGAAGUUGACCGCCUGGGGAGUACGGUCGCAAGAUUAAAACUUCAAAUGAAUUGAC
rnacentral:rRNA from 1 species